GGCCGGGGCCGUCCGCUCCUCCUUGGGCCGUGAGCGGGGCCCCGCGGGGCCGCACGGCCGGGCCGGGCACGGUGAACGCUCUGCCCUUCUCUUCCCGGCCUCCUGCCGCAUUACCUCCGGCUACCAUUCCAGCCCGGCUCUGGGGGACAAGGACGCUGUGCUUAAAGCUCUGCUUGGGACUGUUUAUCCCUACGUGAUUUGUAGCAUGAACAGCUAUAAAAAGCAGAAAUACACAAACCAGUGAUGUGCCAUUUAAGAUUAAGCCACAUACUGAUUGAAAAGUAACUGAUAAUCAGCAACAGACAAAGCUUUUCCAAGUGGCUCAUUCCGGGCAUGUAGAAGGUUCCACAGAGAAAAUAAUCAAUCCAUAGAACUUACCAGUUGAAGAGAACUCUGGUUGUGCCUAACGUUUGGAGAAAUAUUUUGGAAAUACAAACCUGAGAGCUGUGCAACUUGAGCAGGACUCUACUGUAAAGAUACAGCUACAUUCAAAACACCACACUGAAAUAAGUGAAGAUAAGGAUUUGCUUUAGAUGUUUAUUAAUCCAAGGUGAUCUUCCAUAAUAGAAAAAACCAGAGGCUUUAGAUUUCCCACAUCUUCCUUUAGACUUGCAUUAUCCUUGACAAUGGAAUGGAUAAGUGCAAGUUCUAGGAGGAAGAUCAGUUUUUAAUUUGACAAGUGUAUCACUGAAAUUGAUAUAUUGCAUCACAAAAUGCGCUAUCACCACCAACAACAAUGCAAAAUUGUUUUGCAAUUUAUAAAUACAUUUCUUGGAGCAAAAGGAAAGCAAAGUUCUAGAUCCAUUCUUAAAAAAGAUGCUCCUUGCUAACCAGUCUAGUGACACAUAAAAGCACCCUUGUAGUAAGACUGUAUUCCUCACACCAAGAUAAAAUUUUUCCCUUGACUUGUGACUUGAAAAAUAUAAUUGUUCCAGAACUGACAAUGGCACUAAACUUGGUGAUUUCCCCCUAUUUUUUUUUUGUCAUCUGCUUUAUACAUGAAGCCUUCUCACUGCUGCUGUCACAUCCUCUGCCACAAGGCCCAAAAUGGCUCAUCUGUCCUCAGAGGUUUUCAUACAUUUUUAGGAUGUAUAUGAAGAAUUACUGUCUAUCCCAGCUGGACUACGUCACAUCUCAGGAAAUAAUUUAUCAGCCACUUGAUGUGUUUGUUAACAUACCUGGAAUUCAACUACCUUCAGGAGAAUUUCAGCCAAAGAACCAAUCAUAUGUAAAGCACCAUCUUUCUUGCGAGGAUCAGCGUUUGGCUCCGUAAGGAUUUGAUAACAGAAGCCCAUUGUCUUCUGCAGGACCUAGAUUACACGUAAGUUUAGGUUCUGUAGUUUCUGCUUAACAGUCUCCAUUGAAGGAAUUUAAAACUUCUACAUGCUACAAAAGCUGAAAACUGUUUUUCCAUCUACAUUAAUCCUAUGUUUAGGAUACACAGUGUGUGACAAUGAUGCUUAGCACGUGGGUGA